rnacentral:rRNA from 1 species
GUGCCAGCCGCCGCGGUAAUACCGGCAGCUCAAGUGAUGUCCCAUAUUAUUGGGCCUAAAGCGUCCGUAGCUGGCCGACCAAGUCUCCCGGGAAAUCCACCCGCCCAACGGGUGGGCGUCCGGUAGAAACUGGCCGGCUUGGAACCGGAAGGCUCAGAGAGUACGUCCGGGGUAGGAGUGAAAUCCCGUAAUCCCGGACGGACUACCGAUGGCGAAAGCACCUCGGAAGGACGGACCCGACGGUGAGGGACGAAAGCCAGGGUCUCGAACCGGAUUAGAUACCCCUGUAGUCC